UACGGGGGGGGCAAGCGUUGUUCGGAAUUACUGGGCGUAAAGGGCUCGUAGGUGGCCAACUAAGUCAGACGUGAAAUCCCUCGGCUUAACCGGGGAACUGCGUCUGAUACUGGAUGGCUUGAGUCCGGAAGAGGAGAAUGGAAUUCCUGGUGUAGCGGUGAAAUGCGCAGAUAUCAGGAAGAACACCCGUGGCGAAGGCGGUUCUCUGGGACGGUACUGACGCUGAGACGCGAAAGCGUGGGGAGCGAACAGG
rnacentral:rRNA from 1 species